rnacentral:rRNA from 1 species
GAUGAACGCUGGCGGCGUGCCUAAUACAUGCAAGUCGAGCGAACAGACGAGGAGCUUGCUCCUCUGACGUUAGCGGCGGACGGGUGAGUAACACGUGGAUAACCUACCUAUAAGACUGGGAUAACUUCGGGAAACCGGAGCUAAUACCGGAUAAUAUAUUGAACCGCAUGGUUCAAUAGUGAAAGACGGUUUUGCUGUCACUUAUAGAUGGAUCCGCGCCGCAUUAGCUAGUUGGUAAGGUAACGGCUUACCAAGGCAACGAUGCGUAGCCGACCUGAGAGGGUGAUCGGCCACACGGGACCUGAGACCCGGUCCAGACUCCUACGGGAGGCAGCAGUGGGGAAUCUUCCGCAAUGGGCGAAAGCCUGACGGAGCAACGCCGCGUGAGUGAUGAAGGUCUUCGGUUCGUAAAACCCUUUUAUUAGGGAAGAAAAAAUGUGUAAGUACCUAUGCCGGUCUUGACGGUACCUAAUAAGAAAGCCACGGCUACUACGUG